CAGUGAUGACCUCCACCAUGGCCUGGUCCCCUCUCCUCCUCACCCUCCUCACUCACUGCACAGGGUCAUGGGCUCAAUCUGUGCUGAGUCAGCUGGCCUCAGUGUCUGGGUCCUUGGGCCAGAGGGUCACCAUCUCCUGCUCUGGAAGCACAAAUGACAUCGGUAUUAUUGGUGUGAACUGGUACCAGCAGUUCCCAGGGAAGGCCCCUAAACUCCUCAUAUACGAUAAUGAGAAGCGACCCUCAGGUAUCCCCGAUCGAUUCUCUGGCUCCAAGUCUGGCAACUCAGGCACCCUGACCAUCACUGGGCUCCAGGCUGAGGACGAGGCUGAUUAUUACUGCCAGUCUAUGGAUUUCAGCCUCGGUGGUCAUGUAGAGUUUCGGGCCUGGGGGGAAGUGAGAAGCAAACCUGCUGAACCCACAGUGAUGGGGCUGACUGUGCAGCCCUGA